UACGUAGGUGGCGAGCGUUAUCCGGAUUUAUUGGGCGUAAAGCGUCCGCAGCCGGUUUAUUAAGUCUAGAAUUAAAGCCUGAAGCUUAACUUCAGUUCGUUUUAGAUACUGUAGGCUAGAGUGUGGUAAAGGCAAGUGGAACUUCCAGUGUAGCGGUAAAAUGCGUAGAUAUUGGAAAGAACACCAGUGGCGAAGGCGACUUGCUGGGCCACCACUGACGGUCAGGGACGAAAGCGUGGGUAGCAAAUAG
rnacentral:rRNA from 1 species